ACAGCCCUGGGCCAGUCGACAAAAGUGCCUCCCUUUCUUCGUCCACGGGGCAGGUGCUGUCACAUACCACAUUUGCCAGAGACCUGACCCCAGAGCUGGGGCUCGACCCCAGGCUCCAGGUCCCUCAUUCGCUGCCUUUGGUGACCACAGUCUGCAGGAAGUAAAGCACAGCGGGAUGGGUCUGACUCCAGCGACGCCCACACCCCAGAAUCCCUGGUUUUACCCUGGCGCGGACAGCGGAGCCCAGCCUGGCCUGUGCGAGAUGCCCAGUGAUUCGUUUCACCCGCAUCUUUACCCUCCUACGUCUGAUGAAUCCGGCGACUGGGGGCGGUCCAGCACGCUGGCCCCGGCAGCCACGGGGGCCACAAGGCUGCUGUGAGAUGCACCCAGGGCCCCCGGAGCUCACACCCUCCCUUGCCAGCAGCAGCAAACGGAGAGCCCAGUGGAUGACCUUUCCAGACCUCGCCAUGCCACCUUCACAAGCCCCCUCCGCUCGGCCCUGACUUCCCGACACUGGCACACGAGGGUGGACUUGUGCCUUCAUGUCGUCGUGCACGUCCAGCCUCGGAUGUCAGGAGCAGCAACAUGGCUGUUGCUUCAAUUUAAACCUCCCUCACAGUGAGGGAGACAGUCCAGGGCGCAGCGGGAAGAACAGAGCAUGUUCAAUUGAAUGGAAUUAGGAGCAAAGUAUCAGGCAGGAGGGAGAGGAGGGUGGUCUGGGGACCAUCGCCUCAGGGAUCCCCUUUCCUUCUCUGUGCCAUGCUUUUCCAGGCCUCCUUUGGGAGGGGUGGGCAGAGUGACCUCCAGGGCAGAAGGGGCCUCUCGCCCAUCUCAAUCUGACAAAGUGGCUACGAAUUUCCCUAUUUUGAAGCAGAGUUUCUGAGGCCAGAGCAGGUGGUGGCGGGGGUUUGGAAGGCCUGGAACUCUCUGCCCUCCAGCUGGGCCUCUGGGAAUGGCUGGGGUGGGGGUGGGGCGGCAGCUGGGCCUGAGGAGGCCCUGCAAGCAAAACCCCUUCCCCACUUUCCACUGUGGUCCUGGGAGGGCCCUCGCUCACCCUGCGCACCCCACCCCCACCCCACGUUUCUCCUUGCGGAUGGAACAAUAAUGCAGCCUACCCCACCGCGUGAACGUGAGAAUCCAGUGAGUUAGCACCAGUGAAGGACUUGGCCUUGGGGCUUGGCGGAGUCAGGCUCAAUAAAGACCAGGUGCUAUUGCUAUUUAA